AUUAUAUAAAGUGUGUCUCAGUAAAAGAUGCGUGUAUCGCGAGGCGUGGGAAGAAAACCCAGCGGAACCUUCAGUGAGUGAGUGUGCGCGUGGCGGAGGGAUAUCAGAGUUACACGUCACGUGGAUGUUUAGUGUUUUGGGCUUUUGUCAGGCACCCGUUCCCGUGAAAAGCAUGUCUCGCGCCGCUGACUAUGACGCGUUGUUCGCGUCGCGUUUCUCUCCCGCGGACGCGCAUUUCCAGCGCUACCGAGAGCGCGCGCCCGACCCGCCGCCCGCCGUGCACGA